rnacentral:rRNA from 1 species
UCUUAAUUAUAAAGUUAAAAUAAAUAUUUAUUUGUUAUAUUUUAUUUAAAUUUAAUAAUUUUAUUGGGGUGAUAUAAAAAUUUGAUAAACUUUUUAUGAAUAUUACAUUGAUUUAUGAAUAAUUGAUCUAGAAUUUUUAAUUUUAAGAAAAAGU